UUCCAUGACAUAGACUGACCAGGUGAAUCCAUGACAUAGACUGACCAGGUGAAUCCACGACAUAGACUGACCAGGUGAAUCCACGACAUAGACUGACCAGGUGAAUCCACGACAUAGACUGACCAGGUGAAUCCAUGACAUAGACUGACCAGGUGAAUCCAUGACAUAGACUGACCAGGUGAAUCCAUGACAUAGACUGACCAGGUGAAUCCAUGACAUAGACUGACCAGGUGAAUCCAUGACAUAGACUGACCAGGUGAAUCCAUGACAUAGACUGACCAGGUGAAUCCAUGACAUAGACUGACCAGGUGAAUCCAUGACAUAGACUGACCAGGUGAAUCCAUGACAUAGACUGACCAGGUGAAUCCAUGACAUAGACUGACCAGGUGAAUCCAUGACAUAGACUGACCAGGUGAAUCCAUGACAGACUGACCAGGUGAAUCCAUGACAUAGACUGACCAGGUGAAUCCAUGACAUAGACUGACCAGGUGAAUCCAUGACAUAGACUGACCAGGUGAAUCCAUGACAUAGACUGACCAGGUGAAUCCAUGACAUAGACUGACCAGGUGAAUCCAUGACAUAGACUGACCAGGUGAAUCCAUGACAUAGACUGACCAGGUGAAUCCAUGACAUAGACUGACCAGGUGAGUCCAUGACAUAGACUGACCAGGUGAAUCCAUGACAUAGACUGACCAGGUGAAUCCAUGACAUAGACUGACCAGGUGAAUCCAUGACAUAGACUGACCAGGUGAAUCCAUGACAUAGACUGACCAGGUGAAUCCAUGACAUAGACUGACCAGGUGAAUCCAUGACAUAGACUGACCAGGUGAAUCCAUGACAUAGACUGACCAGGUGAAUCCAUGACAUAGACUGACCAGGUGAAUCCAUGACAUAGACUGACCAGGUGAAUCCAUGACAUAGACUGACCAGGUGAAUCCAUGACAUAGACUGACCAGGUGAAUCCAUGACAUAGACUGACCAGGUGAAUCCAUGACACAGACUGACCAGGUGAAUCCAUGACAUAGACUGACCAGGUGAAUCCAUGACAUAGACUGACCAGGUGAAUCCAUGACAUAGACUGACCAGGUGAAUCCAUGACAUUAGACUGACCAGGUGAAUCCAGGUGUUUGAAGAUAU